GAUCCUGGCUCGGGAUGAACGCUAGCGACAGGCUUAACACAUGCAAGUCGAGGGGCGAGCAUGAUUUGUAGCAAUACAGAUUGAUGGCGACCGGCGCACGGGUGAGUAACGCGUAUGCAACUUACCUAUCAGAGGGGGUAUAGCCCGGCGAAAGUCGGAUUAAUACCCCAUAAACAGGGUCCCGCAUGGGAAUAUUUGUUAAAGAUUCAUCGCUGAUAGAUAGGCAUGCGUU
rnacentral:rRNA from 1 species